UGGGGAAUAUUGGACAAUGGGCGAAAGCCUGAUCCAGCCAUGCCGCGUGAGUGACGAAGGCCUUAGGGUUGUAAAGCUCUUUUGGCGGGGAAGAUAAUGACGGUACCCGCAGAAUAAGCUCCGGCUAACUUCGUGCCAGCAGCCGCGGUAAUACGAAGGGAGCUAGCGUUGUUCGGAAUCACUGGGCGUAAAGCGCACGUAGGCGGAUUGUUUAGUCAGGGGUGAAAUCCCGGAGCUCAACUUCGGAACUGCCUUUGAUACUGGCAAUCUCGAGUCCGAUAGAGGUGGGUGGAAUUCCUAGUGUAGAGGUGAAAUUCGUAGAUAUUAGGAAGAACACCGGUGGCGAAGGCGGCCCACUGGAUCGGUACUGACGCUGAGGUGCGAAAGCGUGGGGAGCAAACAGGAUUAGAUACCCCAGUAGUCCCUGAGCGGGCUGGCAAGGCGCAU
rnacentral:rRNA from 1 species